rnacentral:rRNA from 1 species
CAACAGGGAUCCCCUAGUAACGGCGAGUGAAGCGGGAACAGCUCAAAUUUGAAAUCUGGCCCUCGGGUCCGAGUUGUAAUUUGUAGAGGAUGCUUUUGGUGCGGUGCCUUCCGAGUUCCCUGGAACGGGACGCCUUAGAGGGUGAGAGCCCCGUACGGUUGGACGCCUAGCCUCUGUAAAGCUCCUUCGACGAGUCGAGUAGUUUGGGAAUGCUGCUCUAAAUGGGAGGUAUAUUUCUUCUAAAGCUAAAUACUGGCCAGAGACCGAUAGCGCACAAGUAGAGUGAUCGAAAGAUGAAAAGCACUUUGAAAAGAGGGUUAAAUAGCACGUGAAAUUGUUGAAAGGGAAGCGUUUAUCACCAGACUUUUUCUGGGGGGAUCAUCCGGUGUUCUCACCGGUGCACUUCCCCCAGUUGAGGCCAGCAUCGGUUUUCGGAGGGGGAUAAAAGCUUCGGGAAUGUGACUCCCUCGGGAGUGUUAUAGCCCGUUGCAUAAUACCCUUCUGGGGACCGAGGUUCGCGCAUCUGCAAGGAUGCUGGCAUAAUGGUGAUCAACGACCCGUCUUGAAACACGGACCAAGGAGUCGAACAUUUAUGCGAGUGUUUGGGUGUCAAACCCUCACGCGUAAUGAAAGUGAACGGAGGUGAGAGCCCUUACGGGUGCAUCAUCGACCGAUCCUGAUGUCUUCGGAUGGAUUUGAGUAAGAGCAUAACUGUUCGGACCCGAAAGAUGGUGAACUAUGCGUGGAUAGGGUGAAGCCAGGAGAAAUCCUGGUGGAGGCUCGCAGCGGUUCUGACGUGCAAAUCGAUCGUCAAAUCUGCGCAUGGGGGGCGAAAGACUAAUCGA